GGAUGCGAUCAUACCAGCACUAAAUGACCGGAUCCCAUAAGAACUCCGAAGUUAAGCGUGCUUGGGCGAGAGUAGUACUAGG
rnacentral:rRNA from 1 species